CACCUCUCAGGGUCUCUACUGGAGAGUUUCCAGUACUCUACCAGUAUCGACUAUGGGAGGGAGAGUCAAGCAGAGGCCUACCCAUUCCAUUCUUAGCUUGGGUAGUGGCCAGCGAGUGUAAGGCAAUCUGCUAUAAGU
rnacentral:snoRNA from 1 species